GACGAACGCUGGCGGCGCGCCUAACACAUGCAAGUCGAACGGAGCUGCGAGAAGCUUGCUUUUCUUACCUUAGUGGCGCACGGGUGAGUAACGUGUGAGUAACCUGCCCUGGAGUGGGGGACAACCGUGGGAAACGACGGCUAAUACCGUAUAAGCCCACGCUCCGGCAUCGGCUUUAGGGAAAAGGAUUUAUUCGCUUCAGACUGGCCUCUCGUCAACUUAGCGAGUGGGUGGUGUAACGGCCCAGCAAUGCGACGUAUGGUGGCUGGACUGGAAGGUUGCCAGGCUGCAAUUGGGCUGAGACCCGGCCCAGUCUGCUACGCGAGGCAGCGGAAGGGGAUAUUGCACGAUGGGGGCAGCCCUGAUGCAGCGGCGCCGCGUGUAAGAAGAAUGUUGUCGGAUUGUAAAUUCCUGUCGUUAGAAACGAUAAUGACGGUACCUAACAAGGAAGCACCGGCUAACUACGUG
rnacentral:rRNA from 1 species